GAAGGAUCUACCCUAGUAAUGAGUGUGUUUGAGUUGCGCACGUGCUAUUUAUUAAUCUAUUUCCUUCUUCUCCCAUUUUUUGUAUCUUUUACUCAAGCGACAUUGGUAACUCCACAUAGUGAGAAAAAUACAGUAAACCAAGGAAGGUUUACCACUGGAAGAGAAUACAUCUUCAUGCAUUUGGUUCCUCUUCUUAAGAAGGAGGUAACCGGUUGAGAACAGAAAUUGAGGAGCAGUUAAGAAUCGAACACAUUCGUGGGUUGAAUCACGUGUAGACCAGACCAGGUAUUAAAGUGAAGAGCAUUCUGACUUUCAGGAUCAUGUCCUGGUAUGGAUAAUCCAAUGCACAGGAUUGAAAGAACCUGCAAAGAACUGUAGACUCAACCAGCCCCAUCACAAUCCUCCCGACCAUCAAGGACAUCUUCAGAAGUUGGUGCCUCAAGAAGGUGGCAUCCAUCACUGAGAACCCUUACCAAUCAGUCCAGGCGUUCUUCUCAUCACUACCAUCUGGGAGGAGGUACAGAAGCCUGAUCACCAACACACUAUGAUUCAGGAGAAGCUUCUUCCCCUUCACCAUCAGAUUUCUCAAUAGAUGUGCGAGGCCAAAUGGGAAAUGAUCCACUGGGAUUUUCAAUGGCAAGGAUGAAUUUUUUGGAGUUGUCAACUGCAGAUUGCACCAUCAAGCUCUGCAAACUCAGAGGUCAUGGGAC